rnacentral:ncRNA from 1 species
UUCGCAUUAUUUAUUUUUAUAUAUUUGGUUUUCCUUGAUUUAGUAAUGUUUUAUUGUGCCGGCUAAGUUUGUGCCAGCAGCCGCGGUUAUACAUUAGGUGCUAUUGAAUAUUUUCGGUUAUGCAGUUUUAUUUUGUUUUUGUGGGUUUGAAUUAGGAUUAGCUGUUAAUAUUUGGGUGGAAUCUUUAUUUCCAAUUAUUACUUUUCUUUUUUUUGUAGGCUGUGAAAUCUUUCUUGUAAACUAGGAUUAGAUACCCUAUUAUUUUUGAUGUUAAUUAUGUUUGUUCCUGGGUAGUAUUAGUUAUGUUCUUGAAACCUAAAGAAUUUGGCGGUACUCCACUCCUUUCAGAGGAAUCUGCUCCGUGAUCGAUGAUCCGCGUUGGACCUUACUUAAUUUUUUUGUUUGUAUACCGCCGUUGUAAUGAAGAUCUUUUUAGUGUUUGAAUUUUCUGGUUUCAUUAUUUUGGUUUAUUUCAGGUCAAGGUGCAGCUUAUUUUUAAGUGUGAAGUGGAUUACAUUGUGUUUAUUUAUUGUUGGAUUGUCGGUUGAAUAUGGCUGAUGUGAAAUUGGAUUUGAUUGUAAUUUGUUGAAGAUUGUUAUUAUGAUAUUGGUUCUGGAUUAUGUACACAUCGCCCGUCGCUCUCAUUUUUGUUGAGAUAAGUCGUAACAUAGUGGUCGUACCGGAAGGUGUGACUGGAUUGAU